AUUGAACGCUGGCGGCAGGCCUAACACAUGCAAGUCGAACGAGUGGCGGACGGGUGAGUAAUGUCUGGGACACUGCCCGAUGGCGGGGGAUAACUACUGGAAACUGUAGCUAAUACCGUAUCCCAUCGUAUGUGCCCAGAUGGGAUUAGCUAGUAGGUGGGGUAACGGCUCACCUAGGCGACGAGCCCUAGCUGGUCUGAGAGGAUGACCAGCAACACUGGAACUGAGACACGGUCCAGACUCCUACGUGAGGCAGCAGUGGGGAAUAUUGCACAAUGGGCGCAAGCCGGAUGCAGCCAGGCCGCGUGUAUGAAGAAGGCCGUCGGGUUGUAAAGUACUUUCAGCGAGGAGGCGUUACUCGCAGAAGAAGCACCGGCUAACUCCGUGCCAGCAGCCGCGGUAAUAC
rnacentral:rRNA from 1 species